CCUACGGGAGGCAGCAUUGAGGACUAUUGGUCAAUGGACGAGAGUCUGAACCAGCCAAGUAGCGUGAAGGAUGACUGCCCUAUGGGUUGUAAACUUCUUUUAUAUGGGAAUAAAAUGUUCCACGUGUGGGAUUUUGUAUGUACCAUAUGAAUAAGGAUCGGCUAACUCCGUGCCAGCAGCCGCGGUAAUACGGAGGAUCCGAGCGUUAUCCGGAUUUAUUGGGUUUAAAGGGAGCGUAGGUGGAUUGUUAAGUCAGUUGUGAAAGUUUGCGGCUCAACCGUAAAAUUGCAGUUGAAACUGGCAGUCUUGAGUACAGUAGAGGUGGGCGGAAUUCGUGGUGUAGCGGUGAAAUGCUUAGAUAUCACGAAGAACUCCGAUUGCGAAGGCAGUUCACUGGACUGCAACUGACACUGAGGCUCGAAAGUGUGGGUAUCAAACAGGAUUAGAUACCCGUGUAGUC
rnacentral:rRNA from 1 species